GGGCCGAAAUGUCACAAGCGGCGCGUGUGGAACCGAAAACAAAACAAAAACAACACUCGGUUCUUCAUCGUCCCCCAAAAAAUGGGUCCAUUUGAGGGCCAUUUAUGGUUCUGUUUGCAGGUAAUCAAGGGAAAUAAGCUUGAAACGCACGUGUGGUAAACAAAUCCAGCCACAAGCGCAAAGUGUUUCGAAAGAAGAAGACGAACAAAAAAGGUGUGUCUGACGCUCCUCUGUCCCCAAGCGCGUGGUGUGUGAGUGUGUUGCAAAAUGAAAAAGCGUGUCGUAGGUAUUGGCCCCCGUAAAGUCGUAGGUAACACCUGUCGGAUGGGUACGAGCGCGGGUAAGGUGAUAAGGGAUCCCACAGCAAAGCUCCAACUUUGCUCCCGGCGGAAGGUGCGAGCGGCGGACUUGUUUACAUUUUCGCUAACGAACUGCAGCGCGUUAAUUUUUGCUCUUCGUGGCCCCCCACUUGACGCGGUGAGCUCCGCAGCGGCGUCCCUUCUACUUCACCGACACGUACAGCGAAUCUAUCCGCGAACCACAAACGGUGCGCCACAAGCACACACACACACAUUGUGUCUGUCACGCCGCAGAUUUGCAUUCGAGUAUUAAUUAUUUAUCGUAUUUAAUUACCGCCGGCCGGCCGGCCGCGGUUUGAAGGAGCCGCUUUUGAUGAGGCCCGGGUGUGUCCCGUACGUGACAUGUCGGCGACCAACAGCAAAAAAAAAAAAAGGACGGUUGACCACACACUCGUGAUGCAUUUCCGCCCGCCGGCGCACAAUCGGACCACAUUGUUUGCCGUGGAUGGUGGUGAGCGGGGUAGUGUGAGAAGGGGCAGUAGUAAUGCGCAGGGAGAAUUAUUAACACACAAGACGCAUUGAAGGUGCAUCAACUCAAGAAGGCACCAACGUCACAGCCUUAUUGUUGGCUUUCGUGUCGGCUAGGUGUGGCCAGUGGCUGUAGUAGACUGCGUGUGUGUGUGUGUGGAAUUCUUAAACGUGCACACCAUUCUUGCCACCCGAAGGGCACCGUCCACCCACCCGUAAGCUGGAUUGCAACCAAAAACGCUGAUACGCCCAACAAAGAAGCACAGAAGGGGCAACAUAAGGGCGCCGUAUUUUAAAUUAAUCUAUGCAAUCAAUGCUCCGGGGCACACCAUAAACCUUAAUGGGCGAAUCGAGAGCGAGAGAGCGAGAGAUGAUGUGACCACAGGGUCACAUCGGUAACACGUUACGGGUGUCCCGGCACAUGGCAGCAGCAGCAGCAGCAUCAUCACCAUCAUCAUCUUCCCCAUCAUUUCUCCCGGCAGUCUCUGUGUGUUAUGUAAAGUUUUAUUCGAAAUGGCCUAUAUGCAUCCACCCGUUCCGUCAUAAAUAAUGAUCAUUUGCUCUUUGUUUCGGGUUUUGUUUUGGAAUGGGUCGUAAAAAUAAAUUAUUAUUCACACGCACACACACACGCACACCGUGUGCGCAUCCAUAUUUUCCAUGCCCGGCAGAGGAAUCGUACAGUCGCACUUUCCAGCACGGGAGAAAUAGAUCUCUGGCCCAUUAUCCGUCAUCAUCGCACAUCGUAAAACCCCCCCUCGGAACGACAAACGAUGGCCCGAGAGAGAGAGAGAGAAAGGUGGUGUAUGGAAAUCCGGGGCGGGGGAGUCGAACACAUUUCAAGCCGGUCCCGCCCGGAAUUACCGUCUGUCCGAACCAAUAAUCAUAAAACACGUCCCAUUUCAGCAACAACGCACCAAACGGUUUAACAGACGUCCUCACGUGAAAGUCAUCCAGCGGGGCGGAUUUUGGGUCGAUUAAAAUAACGCACCUUUUGUGCAGGAGGAGGGCGAAUGAGCAGAUGCAAAAGAGAGCCCACCGAGAAGCAUCCAUCCCGGGCACGGGGACAAAGACCAAUGAGCCAUUUGAAGACAUCCUGCAGCCCGUUACCACGCCGUUUGAUAACGAUAACGCACCUCUUUCCCCGGGCAAUGCCGCAACAUACUGUGCUGAUUGUUAUUGGUCGCUUGGGAGGGAAGUGCUGGUCGCUGCUUCGAGAAAGCAAAUCGCCAGAUGAUAAUCAGGAAACAGGCCCGGAUAUAACCGGAUAUGGCCACCUAAAGUGGAGUCCAGCAAAGGAGUCGUGCGUGUUCUACCCGCGCGCCCUGUAAAAUCCGGAACUUCCGGGGUAAAUUGAGUUGAAGUGGUGGCCGCCACCGAGCUUGGCCAACUAAGUUGGCUGACGAAGCGGUUUCUAGUGGCUGGAGCUGGCGCGUAAUGGCCUUUAUCGUAAUGGCAUUAAAAUAAUGAAGGAGUAAACUGCAUAGCGCAGAAAAAAAAGUGCCCCGUCAGCCAGCCAGCCAGGCAGCACUCCUUGCCGGAAGAGUGGGCAACUGGAUAAGCGCACCUUUGCUUCAUUCCCGAAAACAGGAAAAGAACGAACCAAGCGGGAACCCGCUGUCAGUCAUCCUGUGUGAAUGUGUGUGUGUGUUGCUGCCAAUCAUAUUUAAAGGAUAACAAAAAGGGCGAGAGGACAAAAAACUUCCGUACAAGGAAGAGAAAUGUGGUAGUACCCAUUAAAUUAUUAAUCCAUUUCGUGUUGAUUGCACAAAAUGUUGAUUACACACACACACUUUAGUGAGGUGUUGUUGCGAACGGGAACGAGAAAAAGAAAAAAAGAAGGUUUGGCUUUUGAAGUUCUGGAUCCUGGUGCCCGGUCCGAUGAAGGUCCGAUAAGCAAAACACGGGAUAUCACACCCAGUAAAUGGGGUUAAUUUUUGAAGGGGACUUCCAAACCAAAGCACCGGAAAGGCGUGAAAAGUUUCGCAUUUUAAAAAUGGGAAAUGUAAUAAGGAAAGGAUUCUAGCUGUUCUAUUACAUUAAGCUAAUGAAUGAUGCUGCUUUGUACUUUGCAAUCAGUUAGCCGGGUUGGUGGUGGGGAUUGGUUCAUGCGGAUGUUGCGGAAAUGGGAUGCUAUUUUUAACCUAAUCUGUAUGAUCAUUUUUAAUGUAAAGUAUUUUUAGGGCAAUGAAUCGCUUAGUGGAACGCGAAAAGGAGUUUUUUUAUACCAUUUUGUCUUAUUAACAUUAAUUAUUUGGCAUUAUUAAUUAUUGUUAACAAGAGGAAGGAGCAGAAUUGUUAGGCUAUUAG